AACGAUCUGGACACUGUCUCGGGCAUGAGCUCGGUGAAAUUGUAGUAACGGUGAAGAUGCCGUUUACCCGCAGUGGGACGAAAAGACCCCGUGCACCUUUACUAUAGCUUCGUAUUGACCCUGGAUAAGUAAUGUGUAGGAUAGCUAGGAGACUUUGAAGCGGCGUCGCCAGGCGUUGUGGAGUCAUUGUUGAAAUACUAGCCUUUGCUUAUUUGGGGCCUAACUCUCUUAAGAGAGAACAGUGCGUGGUGGGUAGUUUGACUGGGGUGGUCGCCUCCAAAAGAGUAACGGAGGCUUCCAAAGGUUCCCUCAGCACGCUUGGUAACCGUGCGCAGAGUGCAAUGGCAUAAGGGAGCUUGACUGAGAGACAUACAGGUCGAUCAGGUACGAAAGUAGAGCAUAGUGAUCCGGUGGUUCCGCAUGGAAGGGCCAUCGCUCAAAGGAUAAAAGGUAC
rnacentral:rRNA from 1 species